rnacentral:tRNA from 1 species
UAGUAAGAAGCGAAAAAUCGCGGUCAGUUUCGACCUGAAAAUUUGGGUUCUCCCCUUAUUUU